rnacentral:tRNA from 1 species
GCCUUAUUGGCUCAGGGGCAGAGCGUCUGUCUAGUAAACAGAAGGUCGCUGGUUCGAUUCCAGCAUGAGGCA